CUGGUAGUUCAGUUGGUUAGAACGCUAGCCUGUCACGCUAGAGGUCGUGGGUUCGAGCCCCAU
rnacentral:tRNA from 1 species